rnacentral:rRNA from 1 species
CUGACACUGAGGAACGAAAGCAUGGGUAGCGAAGAGGAUUAGAUACCCUCGUAGUCCAUGCCGUAAACGAUGUGUGUUAGACGUUGGAAAUUUAUUUUCAGUGUCGCAGUGAAAGCAAUAAACACACCGCCUGGGGAGUACGACCGCAAGGUUAAAACUCAAAUGAAUUGACGGGGACCCGCACAAGUAGUGGAGCAUGUGGUUUAAUUCGAAGAUACGCGCAGAACCUUACCAACACUUGACAUGUUCGUCGCGACUUUAAGAGAUUAAAGUUUUCGGUUCGGCCGGACGAAACACAGGUGCUGCAUGGCUGUCGUCAGCUCGUGUCGUGAGAUGUUGGGUUAAGUCCCGCAACGAGCGCAACCCUCACUUUUAGUUGCCAUCAUUUAGUUGGGCACUCUGAAAGAACUGCCAGUGAUAAGCUGGAGGAAGGUGGGGAUGACGUCAAGUCCUCAUGGCCCUUACGUGUUGGGCUACACACGUGCUACAAUGGUAUUUACAACAGGAAGCGAGACGGCGACGUUUAGCAAAUCCUUAAAAAAUACCUCAGUUCGGAUUGCACUCUGCAACUCGAGUGCAUGAAGCUGGAAUUACUAGUAAUCGUGGAUCAGCGUGCCACGGUGAAUGCGUUCCCGGGUCUUGUACACACCGCCCGUCACACCAUGGGAGUUGGUUCUACCUUAAGGCAAGGUUUAAAACCCUUGACCACGGUAUAGUCAGCGACUGGGGUGAAGUCGUAACAAGGUAGCCGUAGGGGAACCUGCGGCUG